rnacentral:rRNA from 1 species
AUAGCGUAUAUUAAAGUUGUUGCAGUUAAAAAGCUCGUAGUUGAAUUUCGAGAUCAAAUUGUUGGUCGUGCCUUGGUACGCACUGGCAUUAUUGGUUUCUCCCUUCUGACGAACCAUGAUGUCAUUAAUUUGGUGUCUUGGGGAAUCAGGACUGUUACUUUGAAAAAAUUAGAGUGUUUAAAGCAGGCUCACGCUUGAAUACAUUAGCAUGGAAUAAUGAAAUAGGACGUUUGAUUCUAUUUUGUUGGUUUCUAGAGUCGCCGUAAUGAUUAAUAGGGAUAGUUGGGGGCAUUAGUAUUCAGUUGCUAGAGGUGAAAUUCUUGGAUUUACUGAAGACUAACUAUUG